rnacentral:rRNA from 1 species
UCCGGUGGCAAUAGCGAAGAGGUCACACCCGUUCCCAUGCCGAACACGGCCGUUAAGCUCUUCUGCGUCAAU